ACGUAGGCGGCAAGCGUUGUCCGGAAUUAUUGGGCGUAAAGGGAGCGCAGGCGGGAAACUAAGCGGAUCUUAAAAGUGCGGGGCUCAACCCCGUGAUGGGGUCCGAACUGGUUUUCUUGAGUGCAGGAGAGGAAAGCGGAAUUCCCAGUGUAGCGGUGAAAUGCGUAGAUAUUGGGAAGAACACCAGUGGCGAAGGCGGCUUUCUGGACUGUAACUGACGCUGAGGCUCGAAAGCUAGGGUAGCGAACGG
rnacentral:rRNA from 2 species